UACGAAGGGGGCUAGCGUUGCUCGGAAUCACUGGGCGUAAAGGGCGCGUAGGCGGCCAUUCAAGUCGGGGGUGAAAGCCUGUGGCUCAACCACAGAAUUGCCUUCGAUACUGUUUGGCUUGAGUUUGGUAGAGGUUGGUGGAACUGCGAGUGUAGAGGUGAAAUUCGUAGAUAUUCGCAAGAACACCAGUGGCGAAGGCGGCCAACUGGACCAAUACUGA
rnacentral:rRNA from 1 species